AUUCCAGCUCCAAUAGCGUAUAUUAAAGUUGUUGCAGUUAAAAAGCUCGUAGUUGGAUUUGUGGUGUACUUCGGCGGCCCGUCACUAUGUGAUGGAGCUUGCUGAAGUCGCCAUCCUUGGGUGGAUCCUGUGUGGCAUUAAGUUGUCGUGCAGGGGAUGCCCAUCGUUUACUGUGAAAAAAUUAGAGUGUUCAAAGCAGGCUUAUGCCGUUGAAUAUAUUAGCAUGGAAUAAUAAGAUAGGACCUUGGUACUAUUUUGUUGGUUUGCGCACCAAGGUAAUGAUUAAUAGGGACAGUUGGGGACAUUCAUAUUGCAUGGCUAGAGGUGAAAUUCUUGGAUUCAUGCAAGAUGAACUACUGCGAAAGCAUUUGCCAAGAGUGUUUUCAUUG
rnacentral:rRNA from 1 species